GAUCCUGGCUCAGGACGAACGCUGGCGGCGCGCCUAACACAUGCAAGUCGAACGGAGAACGCGGGACUGAAGCCUUCGGGCAGAUGACUUGUAUUCUUAGUGGCGGACGGGUGAGUAACACGUGAGCAACCUGCCUUCAAGGGGGGGGAUAGCACCUGGAAACGGGUGGUAAUACCGCAUAAGACCACAGUGCCGCAUGGCACAGAGGUCAAAGGAGCAAUCCGCUUGAAGAUGGG
rnacentral:rRNA from 1 species